rnacentral:lncRNA from 1 species
CAUCCAAACUGAAACAUAACUACAAACUCAUAAUGUAAUUAUUAUUUUGCUAUUUCUAUAAAGUAACGGCCUUCUUUUGUUUUGCAGAUGGACUUGCUGUUGCCCAUCCAUUUAUAAGGUAUGUUACUACACGUCAACCCUGCGCAGCAGUUGAUCAACUCUUUAAAAUUUGAUACUUUUGACAUAUGUUACUAAUAUUUAAAAUAAAUAAAAAUAAAACAAACUAAA